rnacentral:rRNA from 1 species
AGGAAUAUUGGUCAAUGGACGAGAGUCUGAACCAGCCAAGUAGCGUGAAGGAUGACUGCCCUAUGGGUUGUAAACUUCUUUUAUAUGGGAAUAAAGUGGUCCACGUGUGGAUUUUUGUAUGUACCAUAUGAAUAAGGAUCGGCUAACUCCGUGCCAGCAGCCGCGGUAAUACGGAGGAUGCGAGCGUUAUCCGGAUUUAUUGGGUUUAAAGGGAGCGCAGACGGGGGAUUAAGUCAGUUGUGAAAGUUUGCGGCUCAACCGUAAAAUUGCAGUUGAUACUGGUUCCCUUGAGUGCAGUUGAGGCAGGCGGAAUUCGUGGUGUAGCGGUGAAAUGCAUAGAUAUCACGAAGAACUCCGAUUGCGAAGGCAGCUUACCGGAGCGCAACUGACGCUGAGGCUCGAAAGCGCGGGUAUCGAACAGGAUUAGAUACCCUGGUAGUCCGCGCGGUAAACGAUGGAUGCCCGCCGUUGGGAUUUAGACUUCAGCGGCCAAGCGAAAGCGUUAAGCAUCCCACCUGGGGAGUACGCCGGCAACGGUGAAACUCAAAGGAAUUGACGGGGGCCCGCACAAGCGGAGGAACAUGUGGUUUAAUUCGAUGAUACGCGAGGAACCUUACCCGGGCUUAAAUUGCAGACGAAUUACCUGGAAACAGGUAAGCCGCAAGGCGUCUGUGAAGGUGCUGCAUGGUUGUCGUCAGCUCGUGCCGUGAGGUGUCGGCUUAAGUGCCAUAACGAGCGCAACCCUCGUGGCCAGUUACUAGCAGGUAACGCUGAGGACUCUGGCCAGACUGCCAUCGUAAGAUGCGAGGAAGGUGGGGAUGACGUCAAAUCAGCACGGCCCUUACGUCCGGGGCUACACACGUGUUACAAUGGGAGGUACAGAAGGCAGCUACCCGGCGACGGGAUGCCAAUCUCCAAAGCCUCUCUCAGUUCGGACUGGAGUCUGCAACCCGACUCCACGAAGCUGGAUUCGCUAGUAAUCGCGCAUCAGCCACGGCGCGGUGAAUACGUUCCCG